AAAAACAAAAAAUUUUGACCCAGGCAGGGGUCGAACCUGCAAUCUUCUGAUUAGAAGUCAGACGCCUUAUCCAUUAGGCCACAAGGCCACGAUGU
rnacentral:tRNA from 1 species